UAGGGAAUCUUCCACAAUGGACGAAAGUCUGAUGGAGCAACGCCGCGUGAGUGAAGAAGGUUUUCGGAUCGUAAAGCUCUGUUGUUGGUGAAGAAGGAUAGAGGCAGUAACUGGUCUUUAUUUGACGGUAAUCAACCAGAAAGUCACGGCUAACUACGUGCCAGCAGCCGCGGUAAUACGUAGGUGGCAAGCGUUGCCCGGAUUUAUUGGGCGUAAAGCGAGCGCAGGCGGAAUGAUAAGUCUGAUGUGAAAGCCCACGGCUCAACCGUGGAACUGCAUCGGAAACUGUCAUUCUUGAGUGCAGAAGAGGAGAGUGGAACUCCAUGUGUAGCGGUGGAAUGCGUAGAUAUAUGGAAGAACACCAGUGGCGAAGGCGGCUCUCUGGUCUGCAACUGACGCUGAGGCUCGAAAGCAUGGGUAGCGAACAGGAUUAGAUACCCUGGUAGUCCAUGCCGUAAACGAUGAGCGCUAGGUGUUGGGGACUU
rnacentral:rRNA from 1 species